rnacentral:rRNA from 1 species
GUGGCUAUGACGGGUAACGGGGAAUUAGGGUUCGAUUCCGGAGAGGGAGCCUGAGAAACGGCUACCACAUCUAAGGAAGGCAGCAGGCGCGCAAAUUACCCAAUCCUAAUACAGGGAGGUAGUGACAAGAAAUAACAAUACAGAGCCUUACGGUUUUGUAAUUGGAAUGAGUUAAGUAUAAACCCCUUAACAAGUAUCAAUUGGAGGGCAAGUCUGGUGCCAGCAGCCGCGGUAAUUCCAGCUCCAAUAGCGUAUAUUAAAGUUGUUGCAGUUAAAAAGCUCGUAGUUAAUUUUCUGUUAAUUUUUAUAUACAAUGCUACGGUAUUUAUAUAAUAUUAACAUAAUUCAUAUUACUUUUUAGUAUAUGAAACUUUACUUUGAGAAAAUUAGAGUGCUUAAAGCAGGCUAUUGCCUUGAAUACUCCAGCAUGGAAUAAUAUUAAGGAUUUUUAUUCUUCUUAUUGGUUCUAGAAUAAAAAUAAUGAUUAAUAGGGACAGUUGGGGGCAUUUGUAUUUAACAGUCAGAGGUGAAAUU